CAGGUCUCAGAGCCUGGACCAGAGCAGGAACUCCUCUCACACUUCUGUGUUUGCAGAAACUGAUCUCACCUGGGACCUGUGCACAGCCCGACCUUCUCUAGGGACAGGGCAGCCCCAGGGAAAUGGAAAGGGGCUAUGUGGAGGGUGUGAUCUGUGGAAGAGAAUGCCGGGGACCCAGCUACAAAGAGCUCAUCUCCCCUGCAGUUAUCCUCAGCAAUGAGCAACAGAAAUGGCUCAGAACCUCUUCAGGCUCCACGCAGAGAGUGUCUGGGUCCUGGCAGGAAAUACGCCCGUGAGCUCCUUGGCGACGGAACUUUGCCGAAACCACCUGAGGUCUUGGGCCAGGCACGAAGCUGACACAAAGUGGACUUGCAGUGUGUGUUAAUUUGAUGAAUGAUAAAAGAAGGAUGGUUGGAUGAAUGAA